rnacentral:rRNA from 1 species
GAGGCCCUACGGGAGGCAGCAGUAGGGAAUCUUCCACAAUGGACGAAAGUCUGAUGGAGCAACGCCGCGUGAGUGAAGAAGGGUUUCGGCUCGUAAAGCUCUGUUGGUAGUGAAGAAAGAUAGAGGUAGUAACUGGCCUUUAUUUGACGGUAAUUACUUAGAAAGUCACGGCUAACUACGUGCCAGCAGCCGCGGGAAUACGUAGGUGGCAAGCGUUGUCCGGGUUUAUUGGGUGUAAAGCGGGUGCAGGCGGUUCAAUAA